CAAACUGGAGGAAAGGAGACACUUUACAAGAAAUUGGGCAAAAAGUUGGAGUUUGGUUUAUUGCUCAGCUGUUUCUGUAUUAUCAUCAACUAUAGUGUGUUCCUGCACUGAGCUAAACGGUCCUUUCGUAAUCUAUAGGUACGUAACUUCCUGAGGCAGCUGGUGGCUGCUAUAACUAUUAGCCAGAAAAAAAGGUGUUCUUCCUCUUCUCCUCGGCAGCUCUAUCAGCGGCCCCAGUUCGAUUUUGUGUCACUUUUUUUUACUAAAAUUUGCUUUAGCUUCAGAAUGGAUUUAUGAAGGUAUUCUGCAAAGCGAGUCAAUUAUGCUUUCCUCGUUCACACUUCAGGAUAGCAUUGGCCGUUAGAAAGUGGAAGACGCUUACCUUUCGCUGCAAGAGCACAGUGGCUCAGAGCAACUACGCACGCAACCAGUGCCAGGGAGUACAUUGCCGCCAGUCCACAAGCCCAAA